AGAGUUUGAUCAUGGCUCAGGACGAACGCUGGCGGCGGGCCUAACACAUGCAAGUCGUGGGAGAAUUCAACUCUUCGGAGUUGGAGGAGACCGGCGGACGGGUGAGUAACGCGUAGGCAACCUGCCCUCAGGAGAAGGAUAACCCGUCGAAAGAUGGGCUAAUACUUCAUGAUGCAGCGGGGUCACAUGACCACAGUUGUUAAAGGCCUCGGGUGCCUGAGGAUGGGCCUGCGUGACAUUAGCUAGUUGGUGAGGUAAAGGCUUACCAAGGCGAUGAUGUCUAGGGGGUCUGAGAGGAUGAUCCCCCACACGGGGACUGAGACACGGCCCCGACUCCUACGGGAGGCAGCAGUGAGGAAUCUUGCGCAAUGGGGGCAACCCUGACGCAGCCACGCCGCGUGCUGGAAGAAGGUCCUAUGGAUCGUAAACAGCUUCUCUACGGGAAGAAGGGGUCCCGAUUUGUCGGGACCUGACGGUACUGUAGGAAUAAGCACCGGCUAACUCCGUGCCAGCAGCCGCGGUAAUACGGAGGGUGCAAGCGUUGUCCGGAAUCGUUGGGUGUAAAGGGUGCGUAGGCGGAGCUUUAAGUCUGCGGUGAAAUCUUGCCGCUUAACGGUAAAAGUGCCGUGGAAACUAGAGCUCUUGAGUGUAGCAGAGGCCGGUGGAAUUCGUGGUGUAGCGGUGAAAUGCAUAGAUAUCACGAAGAACACCAGUGGCGAAAGCGGCCGGCUGGGCUACGACUGACGCUGAGGCACGAGAGCGUGGGG
rnacentral:rRNA from 1 species